CAGUCGCCGCGGGAAUACGAAGGGGGCUAGCGUUGUUCGGAAUUACUGGGCGUAAAGCGCACGUAGGCGGAUAUUUAAGUCAGGGGUGAAAUCCCAGAGCUCAACUCUGGAACUGCCUUUGAUACUGUCGAUAUGGAGUAUAGAAGAGGUGAGUGGAAUUCUGAGUGUAGAAGUGAAAUUCGUAGAUAUUCGGAGGAACACCAGUGGCGAAGGCGGCUCACUGGUCCAUUACUGACGCUGAGGUGCGAAAGCGUGGGGAGCAAACAGGAUUAGAUACCCCUGUAGUCCCUGUCUCUUAUAC
rnacentral:rRNA from 1 species